rnacentral:miRNA from 1 species
UUUAGGCAGAGCACUCGUACAG